GGGUGGAAGAAGCUAGCUUGGCACUGAUGAAGAUCUAGUCGUGAUGAAUUCCGUAGCCGCCCUCAAGAUCACGAUCAAACAGACAAUCCAACCUUAAUUCCACCUUGAGGGCACCACUGUAAGCAGCAAAUGGUUGUUGGACCCAAGAGAGCCCGGCGACUGCAAGACUGACCAAAAGGCCAUCCCAACGACUGCCCAGAGCUGAUCGACAACUCUUUGAUGCACC
rnacentral:lncRNA from 1 species